rnacentral:rRNA from 1 species
GACCCUACGGGAGGCAGCAGUGGGGAAUAUUGCACAAUGGGGGAAACCCUGAUGCAGCAACGCCGCGUGAGUGAAGAAGUAUCUCGGUAUGUAAAGCUCUAUCAGCAGGGAAGAAAAUGACGGUACCUGACUAAGAAGCCCCGGCUAACUACGUGCCAGCAGCCGCGGUAAUACGUAGGGGGCAAGCGUUAUCCGGAUUUACUGGGUGUAAAGGGAGCGUAGACGGUGUGGCAAGUCUGGAGUGAAAGCCCGGGGCCCAACCCCGGGACUGCUCUUGGAACUGCAUGGCUGGAGUACAGGAGGGG